rnacentral:rRNA from 1 species
GUCCGGAAUUAUUGGGCGUAAAGAGCUCGUAGGCGGUUCGGCAAGUCGGAUGUGAAAUCUCCACGCUUAACGUGGAGGGGCCAUUCGAAACUGCUGUGACUCGAGUCCGGUAGGGGAGUGUGGAAUUCCCGGUGUAGCGGUGAAAUGCGCAGAUAUCGGGAGGAACACCAGUAGCGAAGGCGGCACUCUGGGCCGGUACUGACGCUGAGGAGCGAAAGCGUGGGGAGCGAACAGG